rnacentral:rRNA from 1 species
GGUUGAUCCUGCCAGUAGUCAUAUGCUUGUCUCAAAGAUUAAGCCAUGCAUGUCUAAGUAUAAGCAAUUUUGUACUGUGAAACUGCGAAUGGCUCAUUAAAUCAGUUAUCGUUUAUUUGAUAGUACCUCAACUACUUGGAUAACCGUGGUAAUUCUAGAGCUAAUACAUGCUAAAAAUCCCGACUUUUUUGGAAGGGAUGUAUUUAUUAGAUAAAAAACCAAUGCCUUCGGGCUUUUUUUGGUGAGUCAUAAUAACUUUUCGAAUCGCAUGGCCUUGCGCCGGCGAUGGUU